rnacentral:lncRNA from 1 species
AUUAGCUCUUCACCCUCAGAGAUGGCCUUCGUAGUUGUACACCAAAGCUGACCCCCUAUUAAGAAGAAAAAAGAAAAAGAUAAAAUUGACAUAGGAUGCUUGAGUCUGUUGUAAACUAGAUUGAUGUCCAUAGCACCUUCUCAUGUUUUUCACACUGGUUUCUACUGGAGUGGAGUGUUUGAUCAAGGCAACAGCUGUGUUCCUCUUGCUUCCUGUGUGGAAAAUUGUACUCCUUGCAUUAAAUGAACGAUUUAGUGACCAGAAGUAGGAGGAGACUAAGAAUCAAGUACAGUAUAAACAUAAUUUGUAGAGAUUUUUGUCAAUUGUUUGCUUUCUGGGGCUUGCCUGAAUCAGUAACCUUACCAGUAGAUUGAGACAGUACCUAAAAACCAGCAUAGUAGAGACCCAACUGCUGAAAUUUAUUUCAUAUGAGCAUUUGGAGUUAUUCUUUCUAUAUUUUAUGAAAGUAAAAAGUUAUUUAUCUCUCUCCUUCUUUUCCCCCCAUGAAAUACUUCCAUCCUAUCAAUACCAAUGCCCAAACUACAGAACAAGUAAACAAAAACUCCUAAAAUCUAGAAAAUUAAAAUGAAAUUCAGGUAGUUGUACUCUGCUAUGUCUGCUACCAUUUUCUGGCUGAAUAAUCUUUACUUAUAUAAUAUUCCGUAUAAUGUAGCUUCUUCAUCUCCAUUUACCCUGAUUGAACUUCCUGAAAUGAAGAUAUGCCAAAAAUCCUUUUCAAAAAGGCUCAUUUAAAUAAAGAUUUGUUUAGAUGAAAAGAAAUGUCUCUUCAAACACUGAGAUAUACUCUGGCACUGCAUGUCAACGAUCACAUGUUGUGCAUUAAAAAGAAAAAUUAACUAUGCAAGUACAUCUAAUGUAUUGGAAUGUGAUAGCGAAUGCUCGUUUAUUUAACAUGUUUAGACAGGCAAAGCACUUAUAUUUUGUUAUCUACACUCUCAGGCCUAGAUAUGUAUCCUAUACAGUUAUGCCUGAAAUAAUGCAGCAUACUUGAUAUGUUAUAAAGCUCUUUUUUUUUUCAUUGUGUAUAGAUUGGAAGGCUGUGUAUUGCACUCAUUAAGCAGCCAAAACUUGUACCCACUUUGAUAAGUCAUAUUGCUCUGUUUAUCUUUCAACAUAACUGUCUUUUCAACUGCACUUCAUUUUUUCCACCCUUAGAGCUCAUGGUUUUUAAACAACUUGUGGUAAAAAUCUGGUGGAAAAGAUAACAACAGUAUAUGAUAUGGCAGAGUUGCACAGAAGAAUCAGAACAUUGUUUUAGAGAAACGUUGGGCAAUUAAUUAAGCCAGCUGAUUAAGUUUUAAAGGAGGAAGAUGGAACUUGGAGAAGACAUACAGGCUGAAGAAAAAAAAAUAUUUUGGAAGUGAUCAGCACAUUCUAAUUGACCAUGGAUGCUCUCUGCAUUCAUGUGGUAACCCAGGGAGAGUAUGGAGUGAAAAGAGGAUCACCAAAGAAACUUGGGGUAUCUCAACAUUUAGGAAGUGUGCAGAGAAGAUGAGAUCAUUAAAAUGUACCAAGAGGUUAUAUUUAAAUGUUAGAGGGAAAUCAAAAGAAUGGCACCACAAAAAUCAAGGGUUGGACUUCUUUAUAAUUGUUUGGCUGAGUUUUUAGAUGGUGAACUUAGAACGUACAACUUGAGGGAGUCAUUUAUAGGAAGUGAUAACCCAAAUAUUGUAACGUAACUUCAAUUACUGAUGCUAAUAAAAUUUUCAGAGUGUGAUCACUCUUGGCGGAUGUUUGGGCAAUGGAACCAGGCUGCCUGGGUGCAAGUCACUUAUUAUGUGACUUAGAACUUGUCACCUAAGCAUUCUACCUAUCAGUUUCCUCAUUCCUGAAAAUGCAGAAGAUGAUAGUGCUGAACUCAUGAUGUUAUUAUGAGGAUUAAAUGAGCUAAUAUAUGUGAAAGCUUAAGAACAGCACCUGACAUAUAAUCAUAUAAUAAAUAACAUAUAAUAAAUGUUUAUAUAAUUGUUAGCCAUUAUCGUUUUGGUUUCAUCCACUUGGGGCUGUUAUUAGUCUCAUUUCUCAUUUCUUACUGCCCUGCUAAAUCCAAGAGGAAAGAAAUCUCACCAGAAAGAAAAGGCACACCUAUGAAUUCAAUGAACAAAUCUGUCUACACUUCACUGGAGGCAGAUAACUCAUUUUAGAAAAGAAGAAUAAGGUUGCAUUUGUUUAUGGAUCACCAACUAUUGUGGACCAGUUAAAAACAGACAUAGUUUCUAGCAAUCUAUGUGGAUCUGAAGGGGCAGGAGAGCCAGUUUCCUAUUUUAAUGCUUCAGAGCUUAGAUAAAUAUGGCCCGCUUUAAUUUACAAUUGAGUGGAGGGUAGUAGUAUUUAUGUAAAUUAAGAAGCUAUCCAAGCACAUGAAAAUGCUAAGUCAUGUUGAUAUUUAGCUAUGUUGGUAUCUUGUACCCUUUGACCUUAUGUUUAAUAGAAACAAACCACAGGAUAUUACAUUUGGCUUUAAAAUGAGGGCAUCAUUAUAAAAAAAAGUGUUGUUAAGGAUGUAGAGAAACUGGAACCCUUGUGCACUGCUGGAGGGUAUGUAAAAUUGUACAAAAUGAUGAGUUAUCCAAAAAUUAAGACUAGAAUUACCUAUGAUUUUAGCAAUUCUACUUUUGGAUAUAUAUUCAAAAGAAAGGAAAGCAGAAUCUCAAAGAGAUAUUUGAACAGCCAGGCUCAUAGUGGCAUGGUUCACAAUAGCUAAAACAUGGAAACAACCCAUGGAAGUAUCCAUUGAUAGAGGAAUGGAUAAGAAACAUGUGAUCUACACAUACAACUGAAUAUUAUUCCGCCUUGAAAAGAAACUCUGACAUAUGCUACAACAUGGAUGAAGCUUGAGGACAUUGUACUGAGUGAAAUGAGUGUCACAAAAAGACAAACAGUGUAUGAUUCCACUUACAUGAAGUACUUAAGGUAUCCCAAAUCAUACAGACAGAAAGUAGAAUGGUGGUUGCCAGGGGCUGGGAUACGGGGAUGAGGAUUUAGGUUUAGCAUAAAUAGAAUUUCAGUUUGGCAAGAUAAAGAGCUCUAGAGAUGGAUGGUGGUAAUAGUUGCACAACAAUGUGAAUGCCACUGAACUAUACACUUGAGAAUGGUUAAGAUACUACAUCUUAUGUGUAUUUUAUCAGAAUUUUAAAAAUUGAGAAAAAAUGAGGUUACAUUUUUUUUUUCACUACAAAACAUCCUCUGUGAACCUAGAACAUUGGCAUGAAAUUUUUAGCCAUAACUAAGAAUAAGAAUAUAACUUUUAUAAAGUGGCUUCAUAUGAGAUGAUUUUAGGAAAACCAAAAAAAAAAAAAAAAAAAAAAAACCAUAAAGAAACACAAGGGAUAAGAUCUUCCUUCUCGACUUUCCUAGCAAAGCUACUUAACAAACCCCAUUUGAAAUUCAAGUACCUAGUGAAAUGAAGUUGCUGCUAAGAAGGAGUUCACUUUAUUUGGCCAUAUUAAGUCUUUUCAUUUGAAUGAACUCGGGAGACCUGUGUAGAUCUGAACAUUUUUGAACAAUUUAGUUCCUGGUUACUUGAUUGAUCUGAGUUUCUGCCUGUGUUUCCAGUGCCAGUGGAGUGUUCCUGUUGACUCUCUAUAGAGGUGAAAUUUAAGGAAUCUAAACAUGUUUUCUGUGGCUUUCAUAAGAAGCAGUAUGCUUAAUAUGCCCCAAAUUUAAACGAAGUGCAUUUUCAAUACACUAAUCCAUAUUAAUGGUAUAUUAAUAUGAAAACAAAUGGAAUUCUGUAAAAGUAUUGGGUGGACAUAUGGCAAUGUAAAUAUAUGCUCCAUAUGGUUGGGUUCUGCAUCCUUGGAUUCAAUCAAACUCAGAUAUAAAUAUUACCCAAAAUUACAAUAAUGAAGAAUAAUACAAGUAAAAAACCCAUAAAGUUUUAUAUCAGGUACUUGAGCAUCCUCAGAUUUUGGUGUUUGAGGAAGAUCUUGAAACCAAUCCACAAUGGAUACUGAGGGACAACUAUAUGCUUCAUUGAUAAAACUGUUACUACUUUGUUUACACUGCCAUUCAAGGGUAAAUGUUCUUAUUUUAAGGAAUUACACACUAAUAGUGAAGAACAGGUGGCACCUGAAAUCACAGAAAAUUUAUUUGUCCUCAAUGCAAAGAUGAACUAUGAAGAGCACUUUAUUGGUGAGUAAGAAAGUUUAGUUUAGUUUAGUCCUGACUUCGUUAUUACUGUGUGAGCUUGGAAAAUCACAUUACCCACAUCACUUCAAAUGACAGCCUUAGACUAAAUAUUUAUCAUCAUCCAGUUGUGAGCAUCUUUUUAUGCUUCCAUCAUCAUGUGCUAAUAAUAGUAAUAAUCACACAUUUAUUAAGUGGUUACCAUGUGCUACACACCUGCACUGUGCUAAAAGCUUUGCAUGAAUUAUCUUAUUGAUUUCCCCCAAGAAAGCAGUGAGGUGGCUUUUAUUGAUUCUCAUUUUACUGUGGGAUCAUGAUGCUGGAAGUGUAAGUUGUUCAAAGUCACACAGCUAGAGGGGAACUGGAGGAGGAGAAGGAAAUAUGGGAGAUGGCAUUUGAAUAAGGCAGAUUUUAUGUGAAAAACUAGGUGUCCCAAGCCAUGGCGCCAUCUGGUGUUCACUCUGUAACACUCCUACUUUCAUUACUAAGUUUGAAUAAUUGGCACAAUUAUCUCUCUGAAGGAAGAAUACGGUGGUUCAAUUUAUGAAGCAGCAUUAGGCAGGUUACAUAGUUAGUUAUUAGAUAGAGUUUUUAAAUGCAUAGCUACAAUAUGGAGAAUAAAAUUUAUGUGUGAUGUGGAAGUGACUCCAAGUUAUUUUAUUAUUUUAUUUUAAGAUAGGGUCUCACUCUGUCACCCAGGCUGGAGUGCAGUGGCAGUCACCGCUCAGCUCACUGCAACCUCUGUCUCCCAGCUCAGGAGAUCCCCA